rnacentral:rRNA from 1 species
AGAGUUUGAUCCUGGCUCAGGACGAACGCUGGCGGCGUGCUUAACACAUGCAAGUCGAGCGGUAAGGCCCUUUGGGGUACACGAGCGGCGAACGGGUGAGUAACACGUGGGUGACCUACCCUCUACUCUGGGAUAAGCCUGGGAAACUGGGUCUAAUACCGGAUAUGACACAGUCUCGCAUGGGGUUGUGUGGAAAGUUUUUUCGGUGGGGGAUGGGCCCGCGGCCUAUCAGUUUGUUGGUGGGGUGAUGGCCUACCAAGGCGACGACGGGUAGCCGGCCUGAGAGGGCGACCGGCCACACUGGGACUGAGACACGGCCCAGACUCCUACGGGAGGCAGCAGUGGGGAAUAUUGCGCAAUGGGCGGAAGCCUGACGCAGCGACGCCGCGUGGGGGAUGACGGCCUUCGGGUUGUAAACCUCUUUCGGCCCCGACGAAGCGUGAGUGACGGUAGGGGUAGAAGAAGCACCGGCCAACUACGUGCCAGCAGCCGCGGUAAUACGUAGGGUGCGAGCGUUGUCCGGAAUUAUUGGGCGUAAAGAGCUCGUAGGCGGUCUGUCGCGUCGAUCGUGAAAACUUGGGGCUUAACCCUGAGCUUGCGGUCGAUACGGGCAUGACUGGAGUUCGGCAGGGGAGACUGGAAUUCCUGGUGUAGCGGUGAAAUGCGCAGAUAUCAGGAGGAACACCGGUGGCGAAGGCGGGUCUCUGGGCCGAUACUGACGCUGAGGAGCGAAAGCGUGGGGAGCGAACAGGAUUAGAUACCCUGGUAGUCCACGCCGUAAACGGUGGGCGCUAGGUGUGGGGGCCAUUCCACGGUCUCUGUGCCGUAGCUAACGCAUUAAGCGCCCCGCCUGGGGAGUACGGCCGCAAGGCUAAAACUCAAAGGAAUUGACGG